AUAUGCCUGGCUCCCUGUAUGCCAUUUGCAGGGCUCACCGAGACGUCGAUGGCCUCGUUGAAUGGCGUAUGAGGAGCCAAGCAUAU
rnacentral:pre_miRNA from 1 species